ACAGUAGAAGUCAUUUGAAGGCACAACAGGCUGUAUCUUAAUAGAACACACACCCCGAGGGGUGUUAGUGGUGUCUUACCCCCCACAGUAUUUGUUUCCAAAGAGUAAAUAAUCUGUGCACCAAGUUUGGUUGAAAUUGCUUGAGGUGUUCCAGAGUUAUACCGGAACAUACACACACACAUUUUUUAUAGAUAGAUA